rnacentral:tRNA from 1 species
GCGGGAAUGACUCAAUGGUAGAGUGUCACCUUCCCAAGGUGGACGUUGCGGGUUCGAGCCCCGUUUUCCGCU